UACGAAGGGGGCUAGCGUUGCUCGGAAUUACUGGGCGUAAAGGGCUCGUAGGCGGUCUGUCGCGUCGGGAGUGAAAACUCAGGGCUUAACCCUGAGCCUGCUUCCGAUACGGGCAGACUAGAGGUAUGCAGGGGAGAACGGAAUUCCUGGUGUAGCGGCGAAAUGCGCAGAUAUCAGGAGGAACACCGGUGGCGAAGGCGGUUCUCUGGGCAUUACCUGACGCUGAGGAGCGAAAGUGUGGGGAGCGAACAGG
rnacentral:rRNA from 1 species